UUGUCAAUGAUUACAUAUAACUAAUUUCAAUAAAAUUUUAUUUCUGUAAUCCUACAAGUCAUACCAAUAAAUCACACACAAUAUUAGAAAAGCAUUUCAUAAGACAGGAAAAUAAAAUUGUAUUAGAAGACUAAUACAAAUAAUUUUAUCAGAAACUUAAUGAUUAGUAACAUGACCUCACAAUGUUAAAUCAGAAACCACAAAUACAACAGAGUCUACCCAAAAAAAUUACACAAAACAACGAGUCAAUGAAAUAGAACAUGGAUAAAAACAAGACUAUUCAAACUAGAAAAAUCCAACAACAAAGUACCUUUUUAAUUUCUUAGACCUAGAUCUUUCAAAUGGAAACCUCCCCAAUAUCCAAAACUGUUUUUUUUACCACAAACACUAUUUAUAAACAAGUAUAAGUCAACAUCACAGUUGUUAGAAUGUAACAGUUACUCUUUAAAAAAAACUACUAGAACAAAAAAAACGAAAAGACACAUGGACAUAUGAAUUUUGGGUUUUUUGGAAAAAUGAGUUUCUAUUAAUCAAAAUGGUAGAAAAUGGUAGAAGAGAACAAAGCACGGAGGAAAAAUAGGUGAACGGGUGGGGGGCGGUGUUUACGAUUUUUUUUUCCAAUAGAAAAAAAAUACUUACCUUUUCCGACGAACUGGAGCUUCUCCACGGACUGGAAGACGGUCACGCCGACGAACUGGUGCUUUUCCGACGAUGCUGUCACCGGAGUAUGAGGUGAACGAAGAAUACACAGAAUCUGUUUUUCGCCUUGGGGACGGGAGGGUUUUUGAGAGGGAUAAUAAAAAAUUGGA
rnacentral:lncRNA from 1 species